rnacentral:tRNA from 1 species
GUGGGUAUAGCUCAGUAGUAGAAGGCACGCUUAGCAUGCAUGAGGUCCUGGGUUAAAUUCCCAGUACCUCCA